AAAGACAUGGGGGAGGAGAAAACACUAAUGGAGCAGCCGGACGUAACACAAAGGGACUCACUCACUGAAUGACUUCCACUCACCCAUUGCUUUUUUGUAGUGAGGGGUCAAAUCGAGACACCACUACGAACACCUUGAAAGUGGCAGUAGCAACUCACUGAGAGAGGUCAACAGCAAGCCCGGAAGCCUCUUCAGCGGUGAAUGCGUGGACAGACAGGCCAGCUGAUGCGACGGUGCAAAUCAGAGAGCAUCAAACGGAUGAAGCAGUGGUGGAAAACAGGGUGCAAGAUGUAAUGACUGUUGGGUCAUGUCCUGCUGUAGACUCUUCUGCAUGUCAGUCAGAGGAUCUUUAAAGGCGUAACACUCUCACCAGAGAGGUGUGAAGGAUGUCUUUGCAACAAUAUCAAGCCCUGUUGGUGACUAAUCUGAGGAGUCAGCUACAAACUGUAUUCCAGCAACAUCAAGGAAGUGAACUUGAAAAGGAAGCGAUGGCAUUAUUCGACCGGAUUGAGGAUCCAUUUUCCUCUGUUGCAACAACAUAGAGGCAGGACAACGUGAUUAAGGAAAAUUUCAAUUUUGUGGAGUCAGGAGGUUUCUGUUGGGUAUACUGCAUGCUUGAAGAAAAAAGGGACAAAAAGGGUCCUCUCCACAAGAACCAAAUGUUUUCUGUACGUACCUCUGAUUAAAAGUAUAGAACAGUUAUUGUCCCAUCCAAAAGUUUUAGAAAUGAUAGAUCAGCCGCAAAAAUACAGAAGUGGUGGUUAUCUGUAUGACAUCAUAGAUGGAGAGCUCAUGAAAUCACAUCCUUUAUUUUCAGCCCGGCCCUCUGCUUUACAGAUAAUUUACUCAGACGAAAUUGAAAUCUGCAAUCCACUUGGAUCUCAUGCUUCCAAGUUACUAAUGUUUUAUUAUACAUUAGGAAACAAACUGCAAAUGGGGAACGUGAAAUAUUUGGAGCAUUGGUUUCGAUAUGUGGAGACACCUUGGCACAACAUGAGCUUUGUGGAUUUAAAGAGGGUGUUGGUUUCGCCUAUAGUAAGUGCCGGCAGUGUGAAUGUUCGUUUGAGGACAUGCAAAUGUAUUUUGACGAAGACAAUUUUGAGCUAAGGACACUAGAAAAACAUGUUCGACAGUGUAGUGAAAUUGAGAAGGCAAAUACUGAGUAUCUUAGAAACAGUUUAAAGACUACAUUUGGCAUUAACAGAAGAAGCAAGCUGAUAGAAUUUCCGGGCUUUAACUUGAUUGAACAAACACCUCGGGAUUUGAUGCAUAUAAUUCUUGAAGGCAUUGCUCCAUUAGAAAUAAAGUGUGUGUUAAAACAGUUAGUUCUUUUAGACUUGGAUGUUCUCAAUACUGCAUUAACUGGAUUUCCCUACUCUCCACUUGAUGUCUGAGACAAACCAAGCCCUAUAGCUUACAGCACAUUAGCUUCAAGUGAUAAUAAAUUGAAGCAAUCCCCAGGCCAAAUGAUAGUUCUACUGCCAUUUUUUAUUGAUAGUUUUACUGAAGAUUUUGCCAUUUUUUUUAUUAAUACAGCUAAAGAUACUGAGUACUUCAAAAUAAUUCUUGAACUCAUAGAAAUUGUUAAAAUGUUGUUUGCUCCUGUCAUUGGUCUACAGACAAUUAGCAAGUUGAAAAGACUAAUUGAACAGCAUUUAAAACAUAUGAAAAGUAUUUUCCCUGAUAACAACAUUAUCCCAAAAAUGCAUUAUUUGAUUCAUGCUCCAUCGCAGAUAAAACUCCUGGGACCAAUGGUCCGUCACAUGUGC
ensembl:lncRNA